GAUGAACGCUGGCGGCGUGCUUAACACAUGCAAGUCGAACGGUGAAGGCGGAGCUUGCUCUGCUGGAUCAGUGGCGAACGGGUGAGUAACACGUGAGCAAUCUGCCCCUGACUCUGGGAUAAGCGCUGGAAACGGCGUCUAAUACUGGAUACGAGCUGCGAAGGCAUCUUCAGCAGCUGGAAAGAAUUUCGGUCAGGGAUGAGCUCGCGGCCUAUCAGCUUGUUGGUGAGGUAAUGGCUCACCAAGGCGUCGACGGGUAGCCGGCCUGGGAGGGUGACCGGCCACACUGGGACUGAGACACGGCCCAGACUCCUACGGGAGGCAGCAGUGGGGAAUAUUGCACAAUGGGCGCAAGCCUGAUGCAGCAACGCCGCGUGAGGGAAGACGGCCUUCGGGUUGUAAACCUCUUUUAGCAGGGAAGAAGCGAAAGUGACGGUACCUGCAGAAAAAGCGCCGGCUAACUACGUG
rnacentral:rRNA from 1 species